rnacentral:rRNA from 1 species
UAGGGAAUCUUCCGCAAUGGGCGAAAGCCUGACGGAGCAACGCCGCGUGAGUGAUGAAGGUCUUCGGAUCGUAAAACUCUGUUAUUAGGGAAGAACAAAUGUGUAAGUAACUAUGCACGUCUUGACGGUACCUAAUCAGAAAGCCACGGCUAACUACGUGCCAGCAGCCGCGGUAAUACGUAGGUGGCAAGCGUUAUCCGGAAUUAUUGGGCGUAAAGCGCGCGUAGGCGGUUUUUUAAGUCUGAUGUGAAAGCCCACGGCUCAACCGUGGAGGGUCAUUGGAAACUGGAAAACUUGAGUGCAGAAGAGGAAAGUCGAAUUCCAUGUGUAGCGGUGAAAUGCGCAGAGAUAUGGAGGAACACCAGUGGCGAAGGCGACUUUCUGGUCUGUAACUGACGCUGAUGUGCGAAAGCGUGGGGAUCAAACAGG